rnacentral:rRNA from 1 species
UACGUAGGGCGCAAGCGUUGUCCGGAAUUAUUGGGCGUAAGAGCUCGUAGGCGGCUUGUCACGUCGGGUGUGAAAGCCCGGGGCUUAACCCCGGGUCUGCAUUCGAUACGGGCAGGCUAGAGUGUGGUAGGGGAGAUCGGAAUUCCUGGUGUAGCGGUGAAAUGCGCAGAUAUCAGGAGGAACACCGGUGGCGAAGGCGGGUCUCUGGGCCGAUACUGACGCUGAGGAGCGAAAGCGUGGGGAGCGAACAGG